rnacentral:lncRNA from 1 species
CAGAUCGUAUCGAACAAGUAGAAUCUCGUACACUAGAGUGAACAUUAGUAAGUACAGAAUUCAGUCAUAUUCUGGCCAAGCUUUUUGUUUUUUUGUUGAAAUUUUAUCGAUUGUUUUAAUUGCUAUUCCCUAUUUGAAGAUUAUGAAUCUUAACUAGGAGGUUAGUCCUAUAUACUGACACAGUUGAAUGAAAUAGAGUUUUCAAGUAUUUUGACUUGUUUUUUGAGUGGAUUCUCAAGCAAAGUCCUGCUGUUGGAUUAGAGAGACACC